rnacentral:rRNA from 1 species
GAUGAACGCUGGCGGCGUGCCUAAUACAUGCAAGUCGAGCGAAUGGAUUAAGAGCUUGCUCUUAUGAAGUUAGCGGCGGACGGGUGAGUAACACGUGGGUAACCUGCCCAUAAGACUGGGACAACUCCGGGAAACCGGGGCUAAUACCGGAUAACACUUUGAACCGCAUGGUUCGAAAUUGAAAGGCGGCUUCGGCUGUCACUUUUGGAUGGACCCGCGUCGCAUUAGCUAGUUGGUGAGGUAACGGCUCACCAAGGCAACGAUGCGUAGCCGAACUGAGAGGGUGAUCGGCCACACUGGGACUGGGAAACGGCCCAGACUCCUACGGGAGGCAGCAGUAGGGAAUCUUCCGCAAUGGACGAAAGUCUGACGGAGCAACGCCGCGUGAGUGAUGAAGGCUUUCGGGUCGUAAAACUCUGUUGUUAGGGAAGAACAAGUGCUAGUUGAAUAAGCUGGCACCUUGACGGUACCUAACCAGAAAGCCACGGCUAACUACGUGCCAGCCGCCGCAGUAA